GUGACUUUGACGUGGGUGAUCUGUGGGCUGGACUAGGAGAUCAGAGCACAUGUAACAAGAAUGAAGAGAAUCCAUCUGGCAGAGUAAAGCCAGAUUCAAACUUUGGAGGGAAGAAAUCAAUCAUUUUGCUGAUGCACACUUGGCUGGACUGUGAGCUUCUCAAGGACAGGACCGUGUCUGUUUGCUCUGCAUGGUACCCAGCCUGGAUGGAGCACAGCGCACCGCCCCCUGCUGCCCCACCAGAUGCUCAUUAAGAAACCACUGGGUAAGGUGCGGCCUCUAGGGGGAGGCGGGAUGUGUGCCUAGAAAACCCAAAGACAAGGCAGGACAGAGCCCUUCACAGUGUCUGCAGUGGACAGGAGGAUAGGACUGCCCCCGGCCUGGAAACACAGCGGACACUUGAAGGAGGGCGUCACAAGCUCAGCCAUGGAGAAGGACGUGGAUCGGAGCAGCAAGGGGCACAGGGGGAAAGGCCGAACAGUGUGUCUAUGGCCAGGUUGGAGGCUGCAACUGGAGGUGGGCCUGCUGGGGCAAAGAGCCGUGAGCACCUGCAACGAGAAAAACAACUUCUGUUUCUCUGAGUUGCUGCCUAGGCCUUUUACAGCACAACCCUGCACAUGCCGAGAGUCUGGACAUUUAGAUAAGGACUUGAGUUUAGGAUUCCUGCCCCAAGUUCCCGCUUGGCUUUUCCCAGGAGCCUUUUAAAAUAACCCCUGAGGACUGAGCCGUGGAACUCAGUGACCUCCACAGCAACCAUCUUCAAGGGAAUGGGUGCACCUACCCCACUCUGUCUCCUGCUCCCCGGCAGCCUG